UUGGAGGGCAAGUCUGGUGCCCGCAGCCGCGGUAAUUCCAGCUCCAAUAGCGUAUAUUAAAGUUGUUGCAGUUAAAAAGCUCGUAGUUGAAUUUCGGGAUCAGAGUGUCGGUCGUGCCUCGGUACGCACUGGUAUUAUUGGUUCCUACCUUCUGAAGAACCGCGAUGUCAUUAAUUUGGUGUCGUGGGGAAUCAGGACUGUUACUUUGAAAAAAUUAGAGUGUUUAAAGCAGGCUUACGCUUGAAUACAUUAGCAUGGAAUAAUGAAAUAGGACGUCUGGUUCUAUUUUGUUGGUUUCUAGGAUUGACGUAAUGAUUAAUAGGGAUAGUUGGGGGCAUUAGUAUUCAAUUGUCAGAGGUGAAAUUCUUGGAUUUAUUGAAGACUAACUACUGCGAAAGCAUUUGCCAAGGAUGUUUUCAUUAAUCAAGAACGAAAGUUAGGGGAUCGAAGACGAUCAGAUACCGUCGUAGUCUUAACCAUAAACUAUGCCGACUAGGGAUCGGAUGAUGUUAAUUUUUUAAUGACUCAUUCGGCGCCUUACGGGAAACCAAAGUGUUUGGGUUC
rnacentral:rRNA from 1 species